rnacentral:rRNA from 1 species
GAUAUUGGUCAAUGGCCGGAAGGCUGAACCAGCCAUGCCGCGUGAGGGAAUGAGGCCNNNCGGGUNGUGAACCUCUUUUGGCCNGGGNCAAGGGCGGCGUCGUGAACGCCGCUUGAGGGUACCGGCAGAAUAAGCGUCGGCUAACUCCGUGCCAGCAGCCGCGGUAAUACGGAGGACGCGAGCGUUAUCCGGAUUCAUUGGGUUUAAAGGGUGCGCAGGCGGCCUUGCAAGUCAGCGGUGAAAGCCCGGGGCCCAACCCCGGAAGUGCCGUUGAUACUGUAGGGCUGGAAUGCGGUCGAGGCGGGCGGAACGUGGCGUGUAGCGGUGAAAUGCGUAGAUAUGCCACAGAACGCCGAUAGCGGAGGCAGCUCGCCAGGCCUGCAUUGACGCUCGGGCACGAAAGCGUGGGGAUCGAAC